rnacentral:tRNA from 1 species
GCCACCCUAGCUCAGUCGGUAGAGCAAUUCACUCGUAAUGAAUAGGUCGGGGGUCGGACUCUCCCCGGCUCUCGCCG